rnacentral:rRNA from 1 species
UACGGAGGAUGCGAGCGUUAUCCGGAUUUAUUGGGUUUAAAGGGAGUGUAGGCGGAUGAUUAAGUCAGUUGUGAAAGUUAAAGGCUCAACCUUUAAAUUGCAGUUGAAACUGGUUAUCUUGAGUGCAGUAAAUGUGGGCGGAAUUCGUGGUGUAGCGGUGAAAUGCUUAGAUAUCACGAAGAACUCCAAUUGCGAAGGCAGCUCACAGGAGUGUAACUGACGCUGAUGCUCGAAAGUGUGGGAAU